GAGUUUGGGGGCUGCCGCAGCUCUUGGCUGUUGGCCCAGGAUGAGGAAUCCGUGACCUGGAAGUUUCUUUCCUCAUCAUUCCUUAUUGCGCGCUUCCGGUAGCUUUUACAUCCAGGUAGUUUAUUCAAGACGUGCCAGACACUGAGCUCAGGAUGAGGGAAACAAAAGUAGGCGUGGUCCUUUCCUGAAGCACUUUAUAGAGGGCCAGUUCUAAAAGUGUGGUCUGGGACUGCAGCCUCCGCAAUGCUGAGAACUCGCUAAAAAGCUCCAGUUCUGGAGGUGGAAUCCAGCAAUGUACACGAAUGGUUGGCACUGAGAUUUCCAAGGGGACCCUUCAAGAAGCGUUCAGAAGAUUCCGCCCCAUACCCUCCAGGCCACAGGCUGCUUGGGAAAAGCCCAGGAAAUCUGAAGCUGUACUCUGUAAUAUUCCAAAGUCCUGUGAACAAGCAAUAAAAAUCAACUAUGGCCAGUUAAAGGGGAAGAGGAAAUGGAGGCAUUCCCAGCAUCUGCAAGACAGGGAACCAGGCCUAGAAACGUUGUAGCCAAAUACAAGAGCAGAGCAUGAAGCUGGCUGUGAGUGUGUUCUGGGGGAGAGACAAGACCUGCGAUCCAGUGCCCACCAGCAUCUUCUGCCUGGUAGCAUGUGGGUCACCUUCCUGCACCUUGUUCUUGCCUCCAAACCAAGUCUCUGGCUUCUGUAGUGGGAAGUACGGAUUCUGGGAGAAGGAAUACCCACAUCUAGGAAGAGUUUUCAGAGAACUAACAGAAUAAGAUGCCCACAAGACCGCACCAUGUCUCUUCUCCACUGCCCAUGGCCUUGUCACAGGACAGAGUCCCUCCAUCCAUCCAUGGCCUUGGUGUCUUCCUCUCGCAUUAGAGGAGGGGUGGGGUGGACUAAUCCUUCUCUCUGCUGGUUUCUUGUGAGGCAGUACAAGGCUCACUUCCAGGAAGCAGUUCUUUUCCUUUUGCUCACACUCAGAUCAUCUCAGUGGCUCAUCUUGCCCUAUGUCGCGA